ACGGAGGGUGCGAGCGUUAUCCGGAAUUACUGGGUUUAAAGGGUGCGUAGGCGGCUUUGUAAGUCAGGAGCGAAAGUUUGCGGCUCAACCGUAAAAUUGCUUCUGAUACUGCAUGGCUAGAAUUAGGAUGAGGUCAGCGGAAUGUGGCAUGUAGCGGUGAAAUGCAUAGAUAUGCCAUAGAACACCAAUUGCGAAGGCAGCUGGCUAGACCUGGAUUGACGCUGAGGCACGAAAGCGUGGGGAGCGAACAGGAUUAGAUACCCUGGUAGUCCACGCCCUAAACGAUGCUUACUCGACGUAUGGCACUAGUUGUUGUGCGUCCAAGGGAAACCGUUAAGUAAGCCACCUGGGGAGUACGACCGCAAGGUUG
rnacentral:rRNA from 1 species